rnacentral:rRNA from 1 species
ACAGGCUUAACACAUGCAAGUCGAGGGGCAGCAUUUCAGUUUGCUUGCAAACUGGAGAUGGCGACCGGCGCACGGGUGAGUAACACGUAUCCAACCUGCCGAUAACUCGGGGAUAGCCUUUCGAAAGAAAGAUUAAUACCCGAUGGUAUAAUCAGACCGCAUGGUCUUGUUAUUAAAGAAUUUCGGUUAUCGAUGGGGAUGCGUUCCAUUAGGCAGUUGGUGAGGUAACGGCUCACCAAACCUUCGAUGGAUAGGGGUUCUGAGAGGAAGGUCCCCCACAUUGGAACUGAGACACGGUCCAAACUCCUACGGGAGGCAGCAGUGAGGAAUAUUGGUCAAUGGGCGCAGGCCUGAACCAGCCAAGUAGCGUGAAGGAUGACUGCCCUAUGGGUUGUAAACUUCUUUUAUAUGGGAAUAAAGUUUUCCACGUGUGGAAUUUUGUAUGUACCAUAUGAAUAAGGAUCGGCUAACUCCGUGCCAGCAGCCGCGGUAAUACGGAGGAUCCGAGCGUUAUCCGGAUUUAUUGGGUUUAAAGGGAGCGUAGGUGGACAGUUAAGUCAGUUGUGAAAGUUUGCGGCUCAACCGUAAAAUUGCAGUUGAUACUGGCUGUCUUGAGUACAGUAGAGGUGGGCGGAAUUCGUGGUGUAGCGGUGAAAUGCUUAGAUAUCACGAAGAACUCCGAUUGCGAAGGCAGCUCACUGGACUGCAACUGACACUGAUGCUCGAAAGUGUGGGUAUCAAACAGGAUUAGAUACCCUGGUAGUCCACACAGUAAACGAUGAAUACUCGCUGUUUGCGAUAUACAGUAAGCGGCCAAGCGAAAGCAUUAAGUAUUCCACCUGGGGAGUACGCCGGCAACGGUGAAACUCAAAGGAAUUGACGGGGGCCCGCACAAGCGGAGGAACAUGUGGUUUAAUUCGAUGAUACGCGAGGAACCUUACCCGGGCUUAAAUUGCAUUUGAAUAUAUUGGAAACAGUAUAGCCGUAAGGCAAAUGUGAAGGUGCUGCAUGGUUGUCGUCAGCUCGUGCCGUGAGGUGUCGGCUUAAGUGCCAUAACGAGCGCAACCCUUAUCUUUAGUUACUAACAGGUCAUGCUGAGGACUCUAGAGAGACUGCCGUCGUAAGAUGUGAGGAAGGUGGGGAUGACGUCAAAUCAGCACGGCCCUUACGUCCGGGGCUACACACGUGUUACAAUGGGGGGUACAGAAGGCAGCUACCUGGUGACAGGAUGCUAAUCCCAAAAGCCUCUCUCAGUUCGGAUCGAAGUCUGCAACCCGACUUCGUGAAGCUGGAUUCGCUAGUAAUCGCGCAUCAGCCAUGGCGCGGUGAAUACGUUCCCGGGCCUUGUACACACCGCCCGUCAAGCCAUGAAAGCCGGGGGUACCUGAAGUACGUAACCGCAAGGAGCGUCCUAGGGUAAAACUGGUAAUUGGGGCUAAGAA